UGAAGCCCCAGUGAACGGCGGCCGUAACUAUAACGGUCCUAAGGUAGCGAAAUUCCUUGUCAGGUAAGUUCUGACCCGCACGAAAGGUGUAAUGAUUUGGGCACUGUCUCGGCAGCAGACUCGGUGAAAUCUUAGUACCUGUGAAGAUGCAGGUUACCCGCAACUAGACGGAAAGACCCCAUGGAGCUUUACUGUAGUCUGCUAUUGAGUUUCGGUUAAGUAUGCACAGGAUAGGUGGGAGACGAUGAGACUGGUCUUUCGGGAUCAGAGGAGUCACUGUUGGGAUACCACUCUUACUUAAUUGAAAUUCUAACUCUAAGCCGUGAUCCGGCUAGAGGACCGUGGCAGAUGGGCAGUUUGACUGGGGCGGUCGCCUCCCAAAGAGUAACGGAGGCGCACAAAGGUACUCUCAGAAUGGUUGGAAAUCAUUCAACGAGCGCAAACGCAGAAGAGUGCUUGACUGCGAGACAAACAAGUCGAGCAGGGACGAAAGUCGGUGUUAGUGAUCCGGCGGUGCAGAAUGGAAUGGCCGUCGCUUAACGGAUAAAAGCUACCCUGGGGAUAACAGGCUGAUCUCGCCCAAGAGUUCACAUCGACGGCGAGGUUUGGCACCUCGAUGUCGGCUCAUCGCAUCCUGGAGGUGAAUUCGCUUCCAAGGGUUGGGCUGUCCGCCCAUUAAAGCGGUACGCGAGCUGGGUUCAGAACGUCGUGAGACAGUUCGGUCCCUAUCUGUUGUGGGCGUUGGAAAUUUGAGGAGAGCUGCCCCUAGUACGAGAGGACCAGGGUGGACGUUCCUACGGUGCACCAGUUGUCACGCCAGUGGCAUAGCUGGAUAGCUGAGAACGGACCGGAUAAACGCUGAAGGCAUCUAAGCGUGAAACCGACUCCAAGAUUAGAUUUCCCAUCAUUUCAAAUGAAUAAGACCCCUUGAAGACGACGAGGUUGAUAGGUCAGAGAUGUAAGUGUAGCGAUACAUUUAGUUGACUGAUACUAAUAGGUCGAAGAUUUAUUCAC
rnacentral:rRNA from 1 species